GAUAAACGCUGGCGGCGUGCCUAACACAUGCAAGUCGAACGAAGUGGCGAACGGGUGAGUAACACGUGAUUAACCUGCCUUACACAAGGGGAUAGCCUUUGGAAACGAAUAAUAAUACCCUAUAGUGUAAGAUGGAGUUGCGUCUGAUUAGCUAGGUGGUGAGAUAAAAGCCCACCAAGGCGAAGAUCAGUAUCCGGCUCGGGGGAGUGUACGGCCACAUUGGGGCAGAGACAAGGGCGCAACUCUACGGGAGGCAGCAGUGGGGAAUCUUGCACAAUGGGGGAAACACGGAGGCAGCGACGCCGCGUGAUUUAGAAGGCCUUCAGGUUGGAGAAAACUUUUUUAUGGGAUGCAGGACCAGAAGAAUAAGGUCCGGCUAAAUACGUGCCAGCAGCCGCGGUAAUAC
rnacentral:rRNA from 1 species